AUACGAAGGGUGCAAGCGUUACUCGGAAUUACUGGGCGUAAAGCGUGCGUAGGUGGUUGUUUAAGUCUGUCGUGAAAGCCCUGGGCUCAACCUGGGAAUGGCGAUGGAAACUGGGCGACUAGAGUGUGGCAGAGGGUAGUGGAAUUCCUGGUGUAGCAGUGAAAUGCGUAGAGAUCAGGAGGAACAUCCGUGGCGAAGGCGACUGCCUGGGCCAACACUGACACUGAGGCACGAAAGCGUGGGGAGCAAACAGGAUUAGAUACCCUGGUAGUCCACGCCCUAAACGAUGCGAACUGGAUGUUGGGUGCAAUUUGGCACGCAGUAUCGAAGCUAACGCGUUAAGUUCGCCGCCUGGGGAGUACGGUCGCAAGGUUGAAACUCAAAUGAAUUGGCGGGG
rnacentral:rRNA from 1 species